GUCUUUUUGAUCAUUAUUUAAAGUCUGACCUGCCCACUGAUAAAUUGAAUGGCUGCGGUAAUUUGACCGUACAAAGGUAGCAUAAUCAUUAGUUUCUUAAUUAGGAGCUUGUAUGAAUGGUUUAACGAGGGAGAAGCUGUCUCUAUUAAAUUUGAUUAGAAUUUUAUUUUUAAGUUAAAAAGCUUAAAUAAUCUUAAAAGACGAGAAGACCCUAUAGAGUUUUAUAUAUUAAAAUUAAAUGAUUCUUUAUAAUAUUUGGUGAAUUUAAUUUUCAUGUAUUUUGUUGGGGUGAUGGAAAAAUAGAUUUAACUUUUUUUUAUUUUAACACUAAUUAGUGAUUCUUUGAUCCAGAUUUUCUGCUUAUAAGAUUAAAUUACCUUAGGGAUAACAGCGUUAUUUCCUUAAAGAGUUCAAAUCGAAAAGGAAGUUUGCGACCUCGAUGUUGGAUUAAAAUUUAUGGUUGGUGUAGCAGCUAGCUUAUUGGGUCUGUUCGACCUUUGAAAUUUU
rnacentral:rRNA from 1 species